ACUCUAAAUUUUAAAUUCUAAAUCUAAAAUAGUAAAUCAUAAAUCAUAAAUUUUAGGAUUUAAGUUUUUAUGAUUUAAGUUUUAUGGUUUAAGGUUUAGAGUUUAAGGUUUAGAGUUU